UCGUGCCAGCCUGGGACGGCAAAGAAAGGAGGAGGCCUGUACCGAGCCAGGCCUGAGGCCCCGGGAGCCCCCAGUGGCUCCGCAGGCUCUGGGACAUGGUGGAUGGUGAGGUGGGCAUUCCUGUGGAUUCAAGGACUCACAAAGCUCUGGUGGCUGCUUUGCUCUGAGACGUGGUGGGAAGGAGCCUGGCUCCUUGCCCAUUUUUCACUUGGGAUUUUCAAUGAUGCUUUUCCCUCAAUUUUAAGACUCUUCUAUAUGGUAGGGUGGAGUAUGGUGAGUUGCAAUCUCCUUAAUGCAUGGAUUUUGCAGUUGGUGAUUGGGGUUAGGAGGUUGCAUUGUCCAACUUCCUACUUGUCUGUCCUCUGCAGAACCACACAUUCCCUCCUGUUGCAUAUUUUUUCUUCAUCAUCCAGUAUCCAAAGAAUGCCUCCCCCUUCUCUUUCACCCUUUCCUCCCUCGGAAAUGAAGAUUUCUCUUGACUGUCACCAACCGUCCCUAAUGCUUUCAUGUCCUUUUCCUGUCAUCAAAGCUUGGAUCUCCGAGGACUUUUUCUCAGAAUUUUCAUAUGCAAUGUAGACUGUCUCUUCCUGGGCAUACAUUUAACUCAUCUGUAGGCCAUCCAUGGUCCUUUUCUCUUUUCCUACACUGCAGGACAGUUCUCCAGAUGGCCUUGGGCUGAUCCAGUUCUCCUAUCAUGUCUCUCCUGUAGAUCUCAAGAAUAAUUGUAGAAUAGUAUACUGGGAAUGCAACAUCUUGAGACAGGGAGGAACUGGCUGGGACAGCCCAGGCUCUGUUCCCAUGCCCCCACCUCUAGAACAGGAUGUCCUUCAGUGCUUUAGCCCAGUGUGUCACGUUGCCUUCAGGUAUAAAACCCAGGCUGGGCUGCUUUCUGGGGUCACUCAUCUGCUGUGCAAGUGUGGCACACUAAAUGGAGAUUCCAUCAACACUGGGCAGCUUUCCUGAGCUUUGGAGAAUCAGCUCCCAAUGAAUCUAGGCCUCCUUGCUGCCUAUCUGUAAGUAAUAAACCCACUUCAUGUCACUUGUUGGAGGUGAACGCUGGGUUCUGUCUCACUGGACUCAGAUAAGUUACUAACCAGUGCACAGUGAACCUGUUUAACAAAAUUGGCACAGCAAGCACGGUUCGGUCUGACAGAAGCAUGGCUUAUUAGUGAAACAGGAGGGGUGAUACCCCCCAGUUUCUAACACAUGGUGGAAAGGCCAGUCCGGGUUGCAGGGUCUGAACAUGCAUCUGGAUGUUUUCUGGGGACAGAACAGUGAGAAGUGGAACAAAGGUCACCCACAAAGAUGUGAACGAGCUGGCUGCAUGAACAUAGGCAGCAGAAAGGGAUGUGGAAAUGUGACCGCAGCUCAUAUUCCUCUGGUUUGGGGGUACUUAUGUAAUCGCUCAUUCCUGGGGCCAGAAACUUCCAGGAGUGGGAACUCAGCAGCAGCCUGAGGCACUUGAGAGGGAACAGGAAAGACAGUCUCAGAUGAUCCCUGAGGUCUCUGAGUGAGAACCAACAUGAAAUGUGGGACCUGACUAGGAGGGAGACUUUCUUUUCAAAGGGCAGAUACGGAGAAAGCCCAGGGAAGUCUUGCACAGCAUGGUUAGUGUGGGUAUUUGAAGAAGGGAUAAUGCAGACCCAAAUGUCUGGCUGGAUGGUGCAGUUAGGGGUAAGGUUAAGGUCUCCAGGUGUCCACCAGAGACUAGUGGUUCUAUACUGCUGUCAAGCGAAAAGGAGGAAAGAGAGAAAAAAUUAAACUGAUGACAUCAGGAAGUUUUAAGACGAACACAGUGACUGAAGGUGUUUAUCUGCUUUGGAUAAGGCUUUUUGUGCCAUUUUGUGUGGCAGUGACUGCAGUUCCUACCCCUGAGUGCAUUAUUAUAGGCACUGACAUGUUGGCUGCUCUGGUACAGAACAUCACGGCUGCCUGAGAAGCUCUGCCCCUCACAGCCAAGAAUUUGAGCCAUAACAAUGGGACAUAUCCACUCCUGCCUGUCACCUAAGCUACCCAAGUUCCAGUGGGUUAUUCAACAAAAGCCGUACUGCAUACUGAGUGCAGAAUUGCACAUUGCUUUGUUAAUUCUGGAUUUGGUACACAACAUCCUAUUGCAAUGUAACAGCCCAGUUUGACUGGUCAAAAAGGCCUUCAGGGCAUGAAGACUAACAAUGGACUGUUGCAGGCUGAAUGCCAAGGCCACUUGGCAUUUCUUGGUUUACAGAUGGCUCUGGGAAACUACAAACCGAUGGGGUCUCUUGUGGUUUCCCAGAUGUAAUUUACAGAUGGCCAGCCAGUGAAUGGCCAUCUCUUGACUUUUACUGGACGUAGAUGUUCUGCCCAAUGGGCCAACUUCACACAGUGGUGAUGGCCAUGCCAGCCACCCCUGCUACCAUAUCUUAAUACAUACUUUUUGACUGAUGGGCUGUUCACUCUCAGGUCACGAAAAUGGCAACCGAGUGACUGAACUAUUAAAGGACCUCUGUGUGGGAACAAAGACUACAACCACUCGCUGCCUAAAAGGGAGAAAUAUCUGUCACUUGCGUGGAUGCUGGGACUACCAUGGCAACCCAUGAAAAGAAUUUAUAUCAUCUUUUUGGAUACACUGCAGGACUUCACUCUGACCAAGGAAUGGUCUGCUAGUGGGAUAGUACCCCUAUCCAACUAGGGCAAUAAGGACACUAAACACUGCUCUCCAGUGCCAGGGAAGCACAGCCCUGAGAGCAUGUCAGGAAACAUUGGGCUUGAAUUCGCCUCCCAGGGGUGGCUUGUGGUUUGGGCCUCCACAGUACCCCAGACAGGGCUCACAAAAUCUAAGCUGGUGGUGAUGCUUCCCCCUGUUAAUUCCCCUAUAUGGAGUCUCAUAGAGUAAUGGACAGGACCAACGAAUACCACCAUGCACAGGUCCCUCUCUUGGCUCCAGGGACAUCUGAUCUUUCCAGUUGGGAAAUCUGGAAACCUACAGUCUCCAUGCCUGAUCAGCAAAGAAGGAGCUCACCGUGGGCACCAGAGACAGGGACCCAAUGUGGAGACCU